UUCAUUUCCAUUUCUUCAUUUCGUCUUCACCCUCAUUUCCGUAAGAGAGAGAGAGAGAGAGAGAGAGAGAGAGAGAGAGAGAGAGAAGCAAUUUUCGAGCUUGGAUCGCGAUUGGUUCGGUAAAUUUCAAUUUUAAUCGGUUAAAAGUUAUGUUUUACUCCUAGUUCAUAGUUUUGGGUAGAAUUUUGUUGAACCAUAUUCGUAUUACCGUGUUUUAUGUUAGGGUUUUAAGGUGAAUUUGGGGAAAGAUCCAAGAUUUGCUUCCUACGGAAGAUGUUAUCUAAUGUGAUGAGGAUUACACGGGGUUCUUGAUAGGCGAAGACCCCUACGUUCCUGGCUACUCUCCUGAUCCUCCGGCUCAUCCCUCUCCGAAGUAUACUCCUUUUUGUGUGCAUACCUUUUGUAGCCUUAGUUUGGCUAGCAAGUUAUGAACCACUUGAACUUUCAUGUUUCGGACCUGAAGGGUCAAUCUUUGUAUAUAUACUCGUAGUUACCUUAGCUACCUUCUCUUCUUUCCGCUGCAAUAUACAUAUAUACAUAUAAAGAUUAUGUCAA